GGAAAAUAUAGUGGGUUUUCUCUCUAAGACUAUAUGUCAAAAUUACCAAAUGUUUGACAUCCAAUAGCCGAUGCUUACUAAAUCAAUGUGCUCUAGUGGUGUCACUAAACAAAAAAAACUUUAACAUACACACUGGGCUUUCUUAUAAACACGCACAUUCUCAAGCAUAUAUAUACUAUUUAUUUAAAUGAGAAUUUCCCCACCCACACACCUAUCUUAUACCCGACCCCAACAUAAUUUGAGAUGAGAUGUAUAUUAUACUUCUACCACCGCGUACACAUAGGGGUAACCUGGAGACAGGUGAAGGUAACUAAUUAUAGAUUUAAAUGUGAAAUUAUUGUUAUAUAUAUAUAUUUGUUGUUUAUUGUGAGGGAAACCUGGCGACGUUUUAUGUCACCAUAUUUUGAAAUAUUAUUAUUAAAGACGCAGACCCUAGUUUUUAGGAAGUGAAAUUUCUUUCUACUUUUUUUUCUAUUUUUUAAAAACUGUUUACCUUUUUUUUUUUACAAUGAACUUAAACAAUCCUUACUAUUUGUGGCAAAUCCAACGUGUUUCUGGUCACCCUGAUAUUUGUAGCAGGUAAAUAUUAAUUUUAUAUCAAACAAAUGGUACGUAUACCUCUGAUAUUUGUAGCAGGUAAAUAUUAAUUUUAUAUCAAACAAAUGGUACGUAUACCUCUGAUAUUUGUAGCAGCUAAAUAUUAAUUUUAUAUCAAACAAAUGAUACGUACAUGUGUACACCUCUGAUACUAGGAUCAGCGGCUUUAAAACAAAUUAUAUAUAUAUAACUUUUUAUUAUAUAGAUAAUUUUACCUGUUAUGUGGGUAUAUAUCUUAGUGAUUAUUAUGUAGAUAAUUUUACCUGUUAUGUGGGUAUAUAUCUUAGUGAUUAUUAUGUAGAUAAUUUUACCUGUUAUGUGGGUAUAUAUCUUAGUGAUUAUUUGAGAGCCUAAUAAUAUUAAAUGUAAAUAUAUACACCACGAGAUGGAAUAAAUAAUUUUACCUGU